rnacentral:misc_RNA from 1 species
GAUUUUAUUUUUUUUUAAUAAAAUAAAAAAAAAAAUUUAUAAUAAACACAUUGUAAUGGUACGUAAUUUUUAAUUAUUAUUAUUAAAUAACGUUUAAAUAGAUAUUUUAAAUAAUAUCAGCCAUUAAAUUUUAUUCUUAUACAAAUUUUUUUUGUUAUCAUUAUUUAUAAUAAAAUAAUAU